rnacentral:rRNA from 1 species
UACGUAGGGUGCAAGCGUUGUCCGGAAUUAUUGGGCGUAAAGAGCUCGUAGGCGGUCUGUCGCGUCUGCUGUGAAAACUCAGGGCUUAACCCUGAGCUUGCAGUGGGUACGGGCAGACUAGAGUGCGGUAGGGGGAGACUGGAAUUCCUGGUGUAGCGGUGAAAUGCGCAGAUAUCAGGAGGAACACCGGUGGGCGAAGGCGGGUCUCUGGGCCGUAACUGACGCUGGAGGAGCGAAAGCAUGGGGAGCGAACAGG